UGAGGAAUAUUGGUCAAUGGGCGGAAGCCUGAACCAGCCAAGUCGCGUGAGGGAAUAAGGCCCUACGGGUCGUAAACCUCUUUGCCGGGGAGCAAGGGCGGGGACGUGUCCCGGCCCGGAGAGUACCCGGAGAAAAAGCAUCGGCUAACUCCGUGCCAGCAGCCGCGUAAUCACUCGCU
rnacentral:rRNA from 1 species